UUUUAGCAACGUGGCCUUGAAGGCUAAGUAGAGUGGAUAGAGUACAAAGGGACUACCCAGACAUGUUUUGAUUUAGAACAGCACCAAAUUUUUUGAUUGCUUUCAUAAAGACUCUCGAUGCAUUUGGCCUACAUGUUCCUAAUUCACUAAUUAACAAUGUUUAGUGUCUUGAAGUAUAUUGUCUUUCACUAAGGCUUCUCCAAAGGCAUGUGCUCUGACAUGUUUUAUUCUCUAAUUCCCUCUCUGCUAUAAUCAAUAUACUAGCAAGGCCUUGCUAGAAGAGUGCUCAUAGGAAAGUCCUUUUAUACAGGCUGUGUCCCCGGCAUCUGUACAAGGACAUAAGCAGUGACAUCUUCCCAGCAGCUUCCUUUCAACAGACAGGUUCCAGAAAUAGACAUAUCUGUUCCUUGGAUUUCA